AACGCACCUUGCGCUCCUUGGUAUUCCGAGGAGCAUGCCUGUUUGAGUGUCAUUAAAUUCUCAACCUCACCAUUUUUGUAAUGAGAAUGUGUGUAGGCUUGGAUGUGGGGGUUGCAGGUCCACUCUGUUGGUCUGCUCCUCUGAAAUGUAUUAGUGGGUUUGGUCCCCUAUCUAUUGGUGUGAUAAUUAUCUACGCCGUGGACUGGAAGACUAUUAUGAACCUGCUUCUAACCGUCCUUUACCGGACAAUACUUGACAUUUUUGACCUCAAAUCAGGUAAGACUACCCGCUGAACUUAA
rnacentral:misc_RNA from 1 species